CCCCAGGAUAGCUCAGUCGGUGGAGCAUGAGACUCUUAAUAUCAGGGUUGUGGGUUUGAGCCCCACGUUGGGCA
rnacentral:tRNA from 1 species